UGCUGCGGCCGGCAGGGCUCUGGCGCUUAUGUCGGCGACCUUGGGCGGCGAGGGUCCCAGCGGAGAAUCUUGGCCGUAGGGAAGUCACCUCUGGUGUCUCUCCCCGCGGUAGCACCUCGCCCAGAACCCUGAAUAUUUUCGACCGGGAUUUGAAAAGGAAACAGAAGAACUGGGCAGCCCGGCAGCCCGAGCCGACCAAAUUUGACUACCUGAAGGAGGAGGUUGGAAGUCGGAUCGCAGACCGUGUAUAUGACAUACCCAGAAAUUUCCCCCUUGCUUUGGAUCUUGGUUGUGGAAGAGGUUACAUUGCACAAUAUUUGAAUAAGGAAACUAUUGGAAAGUUUUUCCAAGCUGACAUUGCAGAAAAUGCUUUGAAAAAUUCCUCAGAAACAGAAAUACCUACUGUCAGCGUUUUAGCUGAUGAAGAAUUCCUUCCCUUCAAAGAAAAUACAUUUGACCUGGUGGUUAGCAGUUUAAGUUUGCAUUGGGUGAAUGACCUUCCUAGAGCACUUGAGCAGAUGGAGUGUUUAUCGGUGCAAUGUUUGGAGGCGACACACUCUAUGAACUUCGGUGUUCCUUACAGUUAGCGGAAACGGAAAGGGAAGGAGGAUUUUCUCCACACAUUUCUCCUUUCACUGCUGUCAAUGACCUGGGACAUCUGCUUGGGAGAGCUGGCUUUAAUACUCUGACUGUGGACACUGAUGAAAUUCAAGUUAAC
rnacentral:lncRNA from 1 species